rnacentral:lncRNA from 1 species
GCCAAUUUGAAAAGAAAAUUUUUUUAUGCAUAAACCUUAGUUAAAAUUUACUCAAUCAUUUUUGUUUGCAAGUAUUAGUUAUUAUGUAGCUUUCAGAUAAUUAUAAAGGAAUAUUACUAGGACAUUAAAGAAGAAAAUGUUCACAUUAGCAAAACUAGUCUUAAAACUGAAGAGUAAAAGGUAACUCAGAACCCAAAAGACACUAAAAUAUUCUGAUUAGACCUAUUACUGCAAUGAAUGGCAAGCUGGUACAGUUAAGAAGAGAAAAUCCAUUCAGGUAACCAAAAAAAAAAAAAGACACCAGCUGUAAACCCCCAGCUGCAGAUGGAAGAAAGAAACAUUACAGAAAAAGAAUCUUAAACUUCUCCGUACUGUAGUUUUUGUGAAUGACCAUUGUAAUGUCUCUGGUAUGGGAGCACAUUAAGAAGAAAAGGCAAGAUCAACACCGUGACCACACCACAAGCCUCAGGAAAGGCAUUGUCAGUUUAUUGUUGAAGGCACAUUGUUUAACAUUUCACUGAGAAAAAUAUCCCUUGGUAUUUCAGGGGCAAAGUUGCAUCUCCAAAGCUUCCUCUGUUUACAGUUGUCUUCUCAUAAAUUUCAUGGUGAACAACCUACUCUCUAUAAGGAAGGCAAAACCAAACAAGCAAAUAGACAAAAAACUAGCAAAGAAAACUCACUAUUUCUAGCAAAGAAGUACAUUUUGAUGGUAAUUAAGGAUUGUAGAUGAUACUUUCUGUUAUCUAAACAGAGUAAGCCUGUCUUGGGUUACAUUUAAUCCCCUAAUAUUUGAUAUUAAAAACUGAUCCUAAAAAUAUUUGAAUAGCAUUAAUUAAUAUAUUUGUGUGAUAUAUUAUAAACCCAAGAACAAUAUUUAAAUGGUAUACAAUAGACAUUAUAUAAUAAACAGUAAACUUCAU